UACAGAGGUCUCAAGCGUUGUUCGGAUUCAUUGGGCGUAAAGGGUGCGUAGGCGGCGCGGUAAGUCGGGUGUGAAAUCUCGGAGCUCAACUCCGGAACUGCCUUUGAUACUGGCGACCUUGAGGCUGGAAGAGGUUAGUGGAAUUCCCGGUGUAGUGGUGAAAUGCGUAGAUAUCGGGAGGAACACCAAUGGCGAAAGCAGCUCUCUGGGACGGUACUGACGCUGAGACGCGAAAGCGUGGGGAGCGAACAGG
rnacentral:rRNA from 1 species